rnacentral:rRNA from 1 species
AGGAAUCUUUUGCAAUGCGCGCAAGCGUGACAAAGCGAACCAAAGUGAUUUUCCUUUUUGGAAAAUCUUUUGCCAGCUGUAAAAAGGCUGGCGAAUAAGGACUGGGCAAGACCGGUGCCAGCCGCCGCGGUAAUCCCGGCAGUCCAAGUCGCAGCCAACUUUAUUGGGUCUAAAACAUCCGUAGCUUGCUGUAUCAGUCUGUUGUGAAAUUCUGUCUCUUAAGGGCAGGAAUUGCAAUGGAUACUGUACAGCUAGAGACCGGUGGACGUAAGGAGUACAUUCGAGGUAGUGGUAAAAUACGUUAAUCUCGAGUGGACUAACACCAGCGAAGGCACCUUACGAUGACGGUUCUGACAGUGAGGGAUGAAGGCUAGGGGCGCAAAAUGGAUUAGAUACCCAUGUAGUCCUAGCAGUAAACACUGCGCACUAAACCUUGUGACCUCCUCGAUAGGUUGCAGGGCUGUAGGGAAGCCGAAGAGUGCGCUACCUGGGAAGUAUAGUCGCAAGGCCGAAACU